AAGUCGUAACAAGGUUCCCGUAGGUGAGCCUGCGGAAGGAUCAUUAGAGAUGUGCGCAAGCACUUUUCCCUUCAUACACCUGUGCAUCGUGGUCUCCGGACCUACAAACUUGAAGUCAUGAACGUAUUUUAUUAUAACAAAUAAAA
rnacentral:misc_RNA from 1 species